rnacentral:rRNA from 1 species
GGUGAACGCUGGCGGCGUGCCUAAGACAUGCAAGUCGAGCGGGGCAGGUUUAUACCUGUUCAGCGGCGGACGGGUGAGUAACGCGUGGGUGACCUACCCGGAAGAGGCGGACAACCUGGGGAAACCCAGGCUAAUCCGCCAUGUGGUCCUGUCCUGUGGGGCAGGACUAAAGGGGCGACCCGCUUCCGGAUGGGCCCGCGUCCCAUCAGCUAGUUGGUGGGGUAAAGGCCCACCAAGGCGACGACGGGUAGCCGGUCUGAGAGGAUGGCCGGCCACAGGGGCACUGAGACACGGGCCCCACCCCUACGGGAGGCAGCAGUUAGGAAUCUUCCGCAAUGGACGGAAGUCUGACGGAGCGACGCCGCUUGGAGGAGGAAGCCCUUCGGGGUGUAAACUCCUGAACUGGGGACGAAAGCCCCGUGUAGGGGGAUGACGGUACCCAGGUAAUAGCGCCGGCCAACUCCGUG